UCUGGUGUUCCCACUCCCCUUGCCUCUCUUUCUUCUAUGGAUUUCUACGUAGUGGCACUUUCCAUGUUGGUGUCCAUCUAAUCUACACCUUGAUAAUGUGCCCUUCAGAACUCCUUCUCCAUGCAUUAAAUCCAUCACAACUACUCCCUCGCUUUUCCUCAAAGUUAUGGAUAUUGCUAAAGGGCAGAUAGAUCCCUUUUAUAUUAGAAAAAAAAAUUACUGUUUUUUUUUAGAGGCUGCAGUUUUCUUGUUGAAUGUCAAUUGCUAUUUCGUUGUCUAUAAUACAUCAUUAACACAGUUUGAACCUUGAUAUAGUAGGAUACAUGGUACUAUGUUAUAUCACCACAAUACCCACCAAUAUUGGACGAAUCUUAGAAUUUGUUGAAGACAUCCAAACAUGAUCUGUUAUGCCACAUGUGUUAUCAAGGAUAUGUGGACGAAAACAUCAGCUGAUAUACAGUUUUCUUUACAUGCUAACGCCAUUUCGAUUGGCAUUGGUACAUAAGUUAUUGUGGAUUCAUGGUUUAUAUUACAGCGAAUACUAAUGUUAGGGCAUUUUCAACGCCGUGCAUCAAACCACCCGUAAACGCGGUCCGGGCACUUUGUGCCAUCCAACGCCGUGCAUCAAACGUCCACGGGCCGGCCCGCACGUCCGAAAUCCUACAAACCAGACGCAAAGUGCGGUGAGGUUUGCGGUCGUCAGGACACCUGCCAUGUAGAUGUCCGACACCCACGGCCCACACAGAACUCUCUCUCUCGUUCCGCUUCUACCGCUAGUCCGCUCUUCGCGCCACAUUCAUGCCGGUUCUAGAUUGGACUUUGACCGGCCAUUGGCGCAUGCCUGGCCAAACAACAUGGCAUUCACACUGGUGUAACGGUCAAGGCGCCUGCUCCAGCCUGCCGCUCACGCCACGUGUGCUUGCUCUCGGCGCCGCGGUAAUGCCUGUUCAAAGCAUACAUGACCGGACAGGGCGGCUUCCUACCGCAUUCAAGCGGACUGACCGUCCGUCCGCCUGGCACUCACGCAGUCGCGGUGAAUUAGGUAUGGCCAAUGCAUAGCCCCAGGGUGAUGCCCCGUGUGCCAUGUAGGAUCGGAUGUCAGGAAAAGUAGGUUUGGAUGGGGAAGCGGGAUCCUCUGCAGGAGGCGGAUGCUUGAGGAGAAAAAGUGUGGUUUGGUGUAAAAAGCUAAAAAGUUGAAGUGGAGAGUAGAGAUGCAUGUGUACUAAAGUCUCUAUUUCUUUUCGUUGAUGAGGCCCACUAGUAGUAGCUUGUGUUUGGGAGAAAAAAUCAAUGUAGUUGCCUCAACCUACUUUUUCUCAUGGGGCAUAUGCAUCCAUAUGCCACCAUUGUACAUGCCCUUAGAGGUCGUCGCUACGCCUGCCUGACGCAUUCAAGUCGUCGUCGCCUGCCUAGACGCCCGCUAUUUAAAGAGCGCAGACCACGACACAAACCCGCACCACCUCCGAGCCCCAUCACACUCCAUCUUACCUCAGCUGGCGCACCACCUCUUCCUCUGAGCCUCAUCUCCUUCUUCGACCUCCAGACCAAUGGCCGAGCCCAGUCGUGGGUGGUUGAAGACCCUUUCGCCGCGACGCCGCCAUGAUGUCGGCGCCCGCAUUAUGACGGGCGAGCCACCGAGCUUCUUCUUCGGAGGAGAGCUCGGACGAUGUGGCCAUGGAGGACGCAGAGUAGCGUCGGCUGCCAGGUUCACCUUGUAGUAGGUGGAGGCACAAUACAACUCUAUCAUGGCGGAGGCGGAGCUGGAGGAGCAGGCGACGCUGGUCUCCGUGUUUUGGAUGUUGCAGGAGCGGUACAACCUGCAAAUCCUUGAGCGCCACCAGCUUGUGGAGGGCUAGAUCAUCGGCGAGCAGGCGAGCGAGGAGGCCAUCACGAUCAUGCUCGUAGAGAAUCCGGGGACCAUGGAUGAGCAGCGAGCAUUGUACGAUUCCAUGCGCGGCGCAUGUGCCAUUUUGCCGUUUGAGGAGAUUGCGGCGGAGGCGGAGCGCGACCGCCUGUUUGAGGAGAUUGUGGCGGAGGCGGAUGCGAACACUGCCAACGUUGGUAGCUCCGCGUCGUUCGUGUCGGGUCGCAAGGACCACGAGGCUGGACCGUCCACGGCCAGGCGGUAGACUCCGACUAGUAGGACGUGGAGACGGACGUGCCCUCAUCUGGCACAAAGUAGGACGUGGAACACAAACAUGCCCACGACCAGCAAAGAGUAGGCUAGGGUCGGUUUAUUUUUUUCCCAUGUUAUAAAAAAUCCUAAAUACUAAUGAAAAUUCCGUGUCCGCUUUUGUUUGGUGCACCGGGUUGGAUGGUCGGCUCCCCUAAAGCUGUCAGCGGUCCACGCCCGGGCGUGUCCACGUACAUUUGGUAUGUACAUUUUGAAUUUUUGAUGUAUGGCAUUGGGGAUGCCCUUAUCUUUAACAUAAUGGCUCUACGCCCUCCUCUCACUGCACCAAAUCCAAAGAUAUGAAUGAUCUUCCACCAGCUUGUGGCUUGGCUUAUGAUAUGACUUACAAUGGAGUGGAGGCACUCGUUUCUCUUUUGAAAUCGGAGGAGGCAGUUUGAGGAUCUACAAAACUGAUGUUCAACAAAGGAUUUUUUAGAUCAUCGGUAUCUCACCUGAACAGGAGGUGUUGCCUAUGGGUUAAAGAUCAGAUUGUGAAUGUGAUAAUUUUCCCAAAGACCCGCUCAAUGUUGGCUCACCAAAGCACCGUCCCUAUGGAACCCGAGCAAUUGAAAACUCACCUUCUAUUGUAAUCGUGCCCGAAAACUACCCAUGUGAAUACAGUUUUCUAAGUACUCCCUCCGUUCUAAA